GCAAACCUGCCCAAGUCAUGCUAUACAGGCACGAAAAAAAAAAAUGUCUUGCAUUGCUGGUGCUUAAGUUUUUGUAGGAAAGGAGAUACUAGUUAAAUAAAAAAGCUUUGGUUUCUUAGAAAAUGAAGUUGUUGCCAGGUCAUGGUUUGAUUGAUGGUCAGGGCACAUGCCCAGGUUGGGGGCUCGAUCCCGAGUGAGGUGUGUGCUGGAGGAAGCUGAUGUAUGUUCAUUCUCAUUGAUGUUUCUAUUUUACUUUGCCUCUCAAAAAGUCAAAAAAAGUAUAUUUUACUAGUAUAUAUUUUAAAAAGUUGUAAGUAAAUGCAAACACAGGGGAGAUAAUUUGGAAAGUGGAUGGAUUAUAUAUCUUCAUUAUGGAGGGUAGGGGCCUCAGUAAAUGGGGUGUCAUCAUCAUCUUUCCUCCCAUGUAAUACUUCUUAAAGACUUGUGGAUCUGCUAGAGUGUGGAUUUAAACAAUGGGCAAACAUCCCCAAAGUUCUGCCUUCCUGGGUUUCAGCAAUGGUUUUCCCGAAAGCUCUAGACAUGGUUGUAAGUUUCAGAGCAUGUGCUACUUCAUUAAGAAUAUGGACAUGGGUGUGUGACAUGAAGGACUUCUCACUGCUUUAGGCCAUGGUGUUUCUAUUUAAAACCAAUGGAAAUAAUUUGAAAUUCACUUUUGAAAUGGCAUAUCAUUUUCCUGCUAUUCAAACAGAGUGACACAAUUUGUGUACCUUUUGAAACGUUUGAGUUCCUCCCGGUUGACGAAAGUUCUGGUCAUUUGCACAAUUGUACACAUAUGGGUUUUCUGUAAAUAGAAUGAUUCCUGUGCAAGUCCAACGUGGUUUUGUGGUUAAAACACCAGGAAGCCAUUGAUGUUUAGAGGACAGUGAUCUAAGGAAAAAUUGAGAGUAUCAGGAAAGCAGGUAGAUUUGAUAUCGUGGAAGUGGGACAUUUUCUGUGCCUUUGAUAAGAGGAGUAGCUGAAAGUUUUUUGUUUCAACAGAAGGCACCAAGCCGUCCAUGUUCAUUUUUGCUGUUUCCAGGGGUCAUUUCCAUGUUUACACUUCCAGGAGAUGUUAUGAAACAUGGGG